rnacentral:rRNA from 1 species
AGCAGCCGCGGUAAUUCCAGCUCCAAUAGCGUAUAUUAAAGUUGUUGCAGUUAAAAAGCUCGUAGUUGAAUUUCGGGAUCAGUGGGUCGGUCGUGCCACUGGUAUGCACUGGCCCUACUGGUUCCUCCUUCUUGAAGAACUGUAAUGCCAUUAAUUUGGUGUUGCAGGGAAACAAGACUGUUACUUUGAAAAAAUUAGAGUGUUUAAAGCAGGCAAUCGCUUGAAUACAUUAGCAUGGAAUAAUGAAAUAGGACGAUCGAUCCUAUUUUGUUGGUUUCUAGGAUUGACGUAAUGAUUAAUAGGGAUAGUUGGGGGCAUUAGUAUUCAAUUGUCAAGAGGUGAAAUUCUUGGAUUUAUUGAAGACUAACUACUAGCGAAAGCAUUUGCCAAGGAUGUUUCAUUAAUCAAGAACGAAAGUUAAGGGGAUCGAAGACGAUCAGAUACCGUCGUAGUCUUAACAAUAAACUAUGCCGACGUAGGAUCGGANGUAUGUUAAUUUUAUGA